UAAUGAUUUUUUUUUUCCCUUUCUUCAUCUUUAUUUUUCCCGAAGUGUGAAUGCCUGGCUGUGUCAGGUUUCCUGGGGAGGGUUCGGCUGGCCAUGUGUGCUUAGGAGAACGCAAAGGGCUGAUGCUUCCAGGGAAGCUUGCAUACAGGCCGGUGGAUCUUUCUCUGUAGAACGGGAUUCUGUGAAAAACUGGACUUGCCUCAUAUCUAAGGAGAGGAAUUGGAGAUCCAGCCAAGACUGGGAAAAUUUAACAAUGAGUUUGCCAAUAGCCUCAUAACAUAUGACCAGUAUUGAGCACCAUGCUACAGCUGGGUUAGCAGGCAAGGGUGGGGGUGGAUAAGGAACAGAAUAGAUGAGUCUCCAGGGUUCAAGGUGUGUGCAGACUAGUAGGGCAGAGCUUCAUGGUAAAUUCUUAGCACAAGGGAGAGGGAUAGCAGUCCACAAGAAUGGGGUCAAAAAAAAAAAAAAAAAAAAACGCCAGGGGAGCUUGGAGAAGCCAGAAAUGUAUCCUAUUGAGGGCAAGGGAAGGAAUCGAUUUAUGAAGGAAGGAGAACUUGAGACAGUCCACCCAAAAUGGAUAGGCUUUUGAUGGGCAAAGACUGGCUUAGCAUUUGAGUUUGAAAGGGCAUUCAGGCAUUUUCUCUCGUAUUUAAGAUACAUUUACUGUAUUUGGAGCAACUGAUAGGUGCCAAGUCCUGGUCUAGGUACUAGAAAUAUAAAGAAACAUCAAACUACAUCUGUGACACAUAUAAUGACAACUCAUGAUAUCAGAUGUAAUAUAAAAAUAGUUGCAAUACAGGGAAUUAUGAAUCCAAGAGAAUGACUACCUAUACUAAGGGGGAGAGAGAAGGCUUCAAGAGGUGGGAACUCUUGAUCUAGAUCCCCAAGGAUACAUUCACUCAAUUCUUCAUUUACAGAAAAUAUUUACUAAAUGCCUACACAUGUCAGGCACUCACUGCAUGUUAAGAUAGAGCAGUGAAUGAAACAAACUAAGCCUUUUUAUAUCCUAAGAGUUCAACAAAUUAAAGAGGAAGGGCAUUCCUACCAGAUGCUCAAGGAAGGGGAUUGUCAGGAGGUGAGACUGGAGAAGUCAAAGCCACAUUUGGAAGGACCUUGCAAGCUAGGCUAAACACAGAACUGUCUCUGGAGGCGAUCAAUGCAAAACCAAGGAAGGUUGUUAUAGCAGAAUUUGAAGACGGUGACCUUGAAGGCUCUGUGGAAGCAGACUGGAGGAAGAUGAAGCUGGAGGCAAAGAGGCUCCUCAGGAGGAGGCACUGGUUCCCUUCUUCGUGCUCUGGGAGUACAGCAUGUGUCUUGCUAAUGGCACCGAUCAUGCCCGGUCCCUGUACCAAAAUCACCGGACACAAGCUCUCAUACACAUACCCAGAGACUAAUUUAAGGGCUGGAGUCUGAGGCAUCCAGAUAUAAUUCCUUCCAAACAUGUCUUUGUUGAGCUGGCCUUCAAGGAAAUAUCGAAUGAUGAAUAGCUGUUUGCUGACUGGAGGAAUUUGGAAAGGACAAGUUAUUUAAAACUCCAGGAAGAACAACCAGGUUGGGAAUAUGUCUUGUAUUAUAUGGGGAGGUUUAAAAAAGUCAUUUUGCAAAAUACUAAUUAUUAAAAUAGGUCCAGCAUGGACCUGAUCUACUUUCUUUUUUUUUUUUUUUUAAGUUUAUUUAUUUAUUUUGAGAGACGGGGGA